AUUUAUACAUAAAAAUUGCUUCAGAUUGUGAAUGAAAUAGCAGAACUAUCAUUUUGAAGAACUAACCAAAAUUGGAACUUCUAAAAUAAAAAAAUCUUCAGUUGUACAACAAUUACAAGCAAAAGAUGAUGUUGCAAAAUGUACAGUCAACUUCAUGGGCAAUAAUCAAUUCAGCAUAUUAUUUUAAAAAGUUAAAACAAAUGGAAGAUGGCAAUUUUCUUUAAAAAAGAUUUUGUUGAAAAAAAAUUGAAGUAUUUUUAGUGUCCUUAAGAUGAUGAGAGACAAAAAAGAACACCUCAAUGUAUAACAAAAUUUCAUCACUGCUUAGAAUCUAAAAUAUGUGUAUAUMAUUUAAUAAUUCUAACUAGAAUUCAUA